AGUUCAUCGCAACACUCAGCCUGUCAGUCAGGUUGUGGGAUCCCUCCUAUCCAGGAACUGUAUGCUGUUGUCCCGGUUCUGACACUUUCCCUCUGAGUCCUUGGACACCUUACCUAACCUCUUGGAAGCUCCUGUCUGUGAAGGGUGUGCACAGAGAGCUUCGGUAGCCUGCGAAGCAGCCAUUUUCACUUCCACGGAGCAGAUGCUGGCCUGGGUGCUGGAAUAUGGAAAUGAGGAAGAUCCUGCCUGAGGAUUUCAUGACAGGUCUGCGAUUACCGACGUGAGCCACUGUGCCCAGCCUCACUUUAAAAAAAAAAAAAGGUUAUGAAGCAUCUCAACACAAGACCUCCUUUGCUCAUCACAACCACCCAGUGAAGCAGGCAAGACAACAGAAACUCCCCACCUGUGAUAGAUGUGAGGCCUGAAGUCUCCCACAUACCCACGGCAGAUGCAACGCACAGCGGUGACCAAUGGACAUGGUCCAAGCAGACCCUUUCCUGAGACUUUCUAAAUGGAGCUGUGUGAGAAGAGUUCCUUUCUGUUUUGCCUCUGGAGCUGAAGGUUGAGAACUCAGAGCUGCCCGUGUUCUACCCUGUGAAAAUAAAGGCAAUCAAUUCACAGAGACAAGCAGAAACAAGGCGUCCAGAGCAAGUCCUUCACAUCACCCUGGACACCCUGGCCCUGAUUUCCACUCCCUGCCAGGCUUGUUUGUCCAAUUCUUCUUUUUGUUCCAAGCACCAUCCCAGCAGGCUUAGUUACCUGUAAGCAUUUGGUUAAUCUCUCUUCUCAGCUAGACCGUAGGCUCCCCGAGUGCAGAAACUAUGUUUAUUUUGGUCUCUGCUGGAUCUCCAGCACCUAAAUAAAUGUUUAUGGUUGACUGCAAGGCAGAUCUGUGUGGGGAAUGAAGAAGAGUAUUAAGACCUCCCAGAUGGGCUGCUGGAGGCCUGUCCAAGGUGGAACUUUGCAUGGUGAGAAAUGCAAUUCAGUAGGAAAACAAAGAACUCCUUCAUCCUCCUCUAGAUUCUGCAGGCAAGUGAUCAGCUCAAGGUAAGAUUUUCUUUCUAUUAAGGGUCUGGAACUUCAUACUUCCAUAAUAAUGGGCAGACAUUAUUUUGGAUAUACUUUCUGAAGGGACAAUAUCAUAUUAUUUAUGAGACCUCAGUUUAGUUCCUCAGAAUCCUUCUUCCCCAAUUAGACACAAACUUCUUAUGAGUGGGUAUACGCCCAAGAGAAUUGAAAACAUGGCCACACAGAAACUUGCACACAAAUAUUCAU
rnacentral:lncRNA from 1 species